rnacentral:rRNA from 1 species
GACGGCCAGUGAAUUGUAAUACGACUCACUAUAGGGCGAAUUGGGCCCUCUAGAUGCAUGCUCGAGCGGCCGCCAGUGUGAUGGAUAUCUGCAGAAUUCGGCUUGUAACACCGGCAGCUCGAGUGGUGAUCAUUAUUAUUGGGCCUAAAGCGUCCGUAGCCGGUUUGAUAAGUCCUUGGGCAAAUCCUGCCGCUUAACGGUAGGAAUUCUAGGGAUACUGUCAGACUUGAGGCCGAGAGAGGUCGGAGGUACUUCUAGGGUAGCGGUGAAAUGCUAUAAUCCUAGUGGGACCACCAGUGGCGAAAGCGUCCGACCAGAGCGGGCCUGACGGUAAGGGACGAAAGCCAGGGGCGCGAACGGGAUUAGAUACCCCGGUAGUCCUGGCCGUAAACGCUGUGGGCUAGGUGUUGCAUGCUCUACGAGGGCGUGCAGUGCCGAAGAGAAGUUGAUAAGCCUACCGCCUGGGAAGUACUAUCGCAAGAU